GCAGAAUUCAGUGAAUCAUCGAAUCUUUGAACGCACAUUGCGCCCUCUGGCAUUCCGGAGGGCAUGCCUGUUCGAGCGUCAUUUCAACCCUCAAGCUCUGCUUGGUAUUGGGCGACGUCUGCUGUCAGACGCGCCUGGAAGACCUCGGCGACGGCAUU
rnacentral:rRNA from 1 species